rnacentral:rRNA from 1 species
UAUUUUUAAUUUUAAAAAAUUAUUAUUUUGAUUAUUAAUUUUUAUUAUAAAUGAAAAUUAAAAAAAUUGGCAGUAUUUUAUAAAAUUAGAGGAUUUUGUUUUAAAAUUGAUAAUACACAUUAAAAUUUUACUUAAUUUAUUUAAUUUAUAUAUUAUUAUCAUAAAAAUAUCUUAAAAAAGAAAUUUUUAAAAUUUUUAUUUAUUAAAAUAUGUUAAAUCAAAAUGUAGUUUAUAAUUAAGAAAAUAAUGAAAUACAAUAAUUUAAAAUUACUAAUAAAAUAAUUUAAAAAUAUUUUUGAAGGUGGAUUUAAUAGUAAAAUUAAAUAUAUAUUUUAUUUGAAUAAUUUUUAAAAUAAGUACAUAUUGCCCGUCGCUUUUAAAAAAAUUUAAAAUAA